rnacentral:rRNA from 1 species
GUGAGGUAACCUUUUGGAGCCAGCCGCCGAAGGUGGGACAGAUGAUUGGGGUGAAGUCGUAACAAGGUAGCCGUAUCGGAAGGUGCGGCUGGAUCACCUCCUUUCUAAGGA